ensembl:lncRNA
CAGAUCACUUCUGCAGCUUUUGGAUCUGCAGCCUGGACUUCCUCUGGUCCUGAGGAGAGCUCUGAGGAGCUGCGGGCCUCGGGCCCAUUCAGGUGCACUGCUUAUUGGGAUGCAGGAACGAGUAGCCUCAACGCCACCACUUAACAAAUCACCUUAUUCUCUGCCAUUUGACUCAUGGAAUGGCUCUAAGGAGGCUGUGAUGCAUGCGAAGGAAAGCAACUGACUUAACUCAUUGGGAUUCAGGGAACGACCUGCCCUCUUUUGGAAAGAAAAAAAAAUAGAAGAAGGAGAAGGAGAAGAGUAAGUGUGCGUGUGUGUGUGUGUGUGCGUGUGCGUGCGUGUGCGUGCAUGUUCGUGUGAGAGAGAGGGAGAGGGGAGGGGGAGAUACACACAGUGCUGCUUUCCUGAGCUGCCGCUUCCCAAGCAGAAACUAUCGGGAGAAACGCAGCGUCUUGGCUCUUUCCUGCAUUUACACAAUGAAAUCACUGCUGUUUUUAUUCCUGCUAACGGGCCGCUUUUGUUUGCAUCCACUCCGAGACAUGGACGAUGGGAACAAAUAAGUGCUUAAGAUCAAAUAGACAAAAAAAAAAAAAAAAAAGAGAGAGAAAAAAAAGCCCAACCACGCUGGGAUGCUGGGAUGAGGAUUACUCACUUUAGCUCUGACUGGAGCAGCUAUGAAACAUGUAGCUCUACAAGCUGCUGAGCCCAGGUAAGUGAGGCAGUGAGCAAAGCAAGCCCUGCGCAGGACGAGCAUCCUCCCACUGCCUGCACCAGCACAGCCAGCCCCAGGAGCAGCACCUUCCGCAGUGCCUGUGCCAAGAGAUGUAGAGCUGAAGCACUGUGUCCAGCACCCCGAGGCCUGGUGCACAACUACUGUGGGACAAUGUAUGAGCCAGCUAGCAAGUUUUUUGAGGCAAAGCAAAUGCUGGAAUAAAAGUCAUCUAAUGAUGCAAAAGUCUGAGGAAAUCAUAAAUGCAGGAACAGGGGUGGUUAGAACUGAAUGCUCUUCACCGCUCUUACCAUCUCAGUCUACAAACAUGACUGUGUGUCCAGAUGCAGCACAUGAGCCUGCCACAUGACAACUGUUCUACAGCUCACGAGUGGGUGUGAAGGAGAAAAGAAGGAAGACUACCCAAGCCAAUCCAACUGGAAACAGCAAAAGUGCCUGGAACAUAAUAGGAAUAUAGAAGCUGACUAUUUAUUUGAAUGAAUGCGACCAGUCCUGAGUAGAAAGGAGGACUGAGAUAUUAUACAAAAUUAAAUCAAGAGAAAUAAUUCUCCAGCUUCAGAAGAUUGCACUGCAAUACGGAGAAGCACAGAAGUGAUACAAAGAGCAACGGGACUGUGAAAAUUACAUUAAAAUAUUUUGGUUUGUUGUUUGAUUUUUUGUUUGUUUGCUUGCUUUUGUUUUUAAUUUAUAAUACAUUUUCCUCAAUUGUGUAUCAUCAUCCUUUUAUGUUGAGCUUAAGACAUUCAUGCAAGCAAUUUUAUUUCCAGCAAACAUUAACAUUUGGUAGCUAAGCACAAAAAUCCCCACACUUUUAUAUCUCCACAUGCACGUUUCCACUGAAUUUGCUCAAGCACCUCGUCCAAUCAAAGAGUAAGAAGAAUUCUGUUCAACAACCAAGACCCACAAACAGGUUUCAAGUAAUAAAGAAUGACUUCAAAGAGCUGUUUUCUGAUGAACACUGAAACGUCCGCUGAGAAUGCUAGAAAAAGCUGUGUCUGUUCAUACAUAGGUUGGAUACUGGAGCACAAAAAAUUUUUCCUUAAGCCACGUGAAGAAGGAUGAAGGGAAAGCAGACAGGGAUAAACCUUGAGCACUGAAGCUGUGAUUUCAAGCCAAAGCCUGCCCUUAUAGAGCCUUAUGGGGGGGUUAUGAAAAGCUUCUAUGGAACAGGAAAACAAGUCCUUCUCUCUUCCUAUGUGCUUCAGAGAACUGAGAAAAACAGAAAGACCUGGAAUUGAGAAAGAUCAGUAAAGGAGAGCAGUAGAUUAGUCCAGGCAGGAAUAUGCAGAAACAAUUCCCAUGAAGGAUUUGCCCAUGAAGAUAAAUAAGAACAAAUGUGAGAGAAAGUUUGAUGAUCAUGUUAAAUAAUUCUGAAAUACUCGCUGUUGAAUGAGCAGGAGAAACCUGGCUUUGAAUUUGUUAGAAUUAUACAGAAACAUUAAAGUAUUGCCUCAUCAACACACAUCAAUUAAGGUAAUAUGAAUCAAUGUAAUGCAUAACAGACUUGUAUAAUCUCCCUAUAUGAAAUCUGAUGUUUCCCUGUUGUGCUUGAGUUUGCAUCUCUAUAUUUUUCUUAAUUUUAGAAACUGUCCUACUUGCAGCUACGGCUUUCCUGGCGGAGAAUGACAGGGUGGGAUUUUAGUCAUCAACAGUGCUCAGCUAAGGAGUCAAAUUGUGUUAAAUGAGCCCUCUGCUACUCCGUGAGAUGGUGUUGAACUUAAACACCUGAGCUGCAUGCAGGAUUUCUUUGUCCUUCUAUUGCUAGGAAAGAUGGCACAUUUACAAAGUGACUGCAAAGGUAAGGAGUUAGUGAUCAUCAUACCAAUUGUUCAUAUUUUCUGAAGGCUCUAGAGAAACACACAGCAGUCCAUUAACCAACCAAACAAGCAAACAAACCCAACAGGCAUCUGGACAGGUAGUUAAGUUGCUACUACUGAAUUUCUUACAUUUUCCCAAACAGUGAGGGGAAGUUUAGUAAAAUAAAGGUUCCUACAUGCUCAAAAAUUGUCCAACAUCUCCCAAACAAGCAGCUUACAAAAAAAAACAAAGCCCUGAAAAAUACACAGCAAAACCCUAAGGUGAAUAAUGAAGCAUGACCAAACAUUCUUUAUUUUAAAAAAUCUUCUAUAUUCUGUCUUUACUUCGAAGUUUUUUAAAAAAACAUUUGGAAAGGUUCAUCACCUGUGAAAAAUCAUAGCUUGGUGAAAAAUAUCCUAAUUUAUCACUUCAAUAUGAUACUGCAGGGAUACGCAACUACUGAAACAAGAAAAAGCAAUUUUAAGAAGUUUAUUUACCCAUUUUCUUUCUCUGAAUGUGAUACAGCAGGACUGACUCCCCUUUCUGCAAGGCAGAACCAAGUCAGCAACCUCAAACAAAACUAUUGCCAGACAACCAGUAUCUCAAUUCAUAUGUACCUAUAAUCUCCCAACUAAUGACAUCUCACUGUGGAGAACCAUAGGAAUACUAACUUGCAUGUGAGGCCUCAUUUCAGUACCAGCACUCAGUCCAGACUACCAGCCUACAGCACAUGAGAUCUGCCUACUCUGGCAGCAGUGGAUAACCAUGCAUAUGUGUGUCACACAGCCAUCCAGCUGUGUCCCCCACGUUAGGCUGUGGGCAGCACAAUAGAGCUUGUUUAAGUUCCACUUAACGCCUCUCUGUUCCCAGAAUAAGAAAACUGUGGCAACUGUGGUACUGGUUGUUAUAGAAGCUCUGUCACUGGCAGUGAUUAAUAACAAAGUGGAACAAAUACUCAUGCAGGCCAAUCCCUGGCAGGGUAGAUGAGCAGCAUUGCAAAUGUUACAUUUUCAGGACCUAAUUCAUGCGAUUCUAUCUGCUGCUCUGUUACUUUUCUGUAUAACUGUAUAACAAAGUAGGGAUGGUAGAGACUGCUUAAUCAGGACAGUCUAACCUAUGGGCAAUUAUCCAAAACCACGUAUUUUCUAAAUUCUGUGCAGAAGAGAGAUGGAGCUUAAGAGCUCUGUAGGGAUCAGAGCUGCUAACCAACUUAUAAGAAGAGCUCUGGGGAUUGGAACGGGAAUAAUGAGAAAAUCUGGAUAUUCAGCGUGAAGAACACUCCCAGUUUAGCUACAGUUACGUGUAAAUUAAACUUGUAUUUAACGUUUAUUGCUAUACAGUUCACUUUAAAAUUUCUCAUGGAAUAGCACUGGGAGAAAUUGUAUAGCACGUGAUUUUUCCCCUCUUUUGUUAUUAGUGUGACUGAGAGGAAUACCUGGGAAACUUGGCCAAGCACAAUUGGAAGUACAAUCAUGCAAUCAGGCUGUCCUGAUAGCUUCCCCUUUUUCAGGUUACAGCAUCACGCUAUGUGGUUAUUUCCAUGUUCAUGUUUAGAUAUCACAUGUAUCUGUAUACAUAGUGAUAAAUACACAUAUAUUUAUAACACAGGUAACACUACUAAAAUGAUGAGGCCUGGAGAAGCUAUAUAGUACUAGAAUUACAAAGUAAGAGGGAAAAAAAUCUUCCAGAAUACUUCAUCCUCUACUUUCUUCCAUUAUUCCUUUGACAAAACAUAAAGUGCUUCCAACAUAUUUAACUUACUGAAGUCUGAAGACAUCCUUGAUAUUCACAUUUAUUUCUAAUCUAGUUCCUUUGUUACUGAAUCAGUUUAGAAAAACUUCUCUGUUCAGGAAAGCACUUAAGCAUACACAGAAGGACAUUCUUAAAGGUAAGUAUCUUCCUGAAUAAAUCUUAUCAUUUAAUGUUAAUAAACACUCCUUAAUAAACCAUUUGGUAUAUGUUUGCAAUGCAGUGAUGUUUUUAUACUCUUUCACACUGCUCAGUUUUUACUACCAAGAAAAAAAAUAGGACAUGGAAAGGUGACUUCAAAUUUUUGUAAGUUAAGUUUAAAAUGGGUUUGAAAACCUCAUUUUCAGAAACACAACUUCAGAAAACCAAGUUCAUGAUAAACUUAUUGUCUGAGGAUCCAUCAUCAGUAAUUAUUUUGGAAAUCUUGACCUAAUCUCCUAGACAAGCAGUUAUAACCACAACAACAAACAACUCGGCUUCCAGUUUGAAGCAGCAGUAAUUGAAUUGUGAAUAGUUGCUGGGAUUGAUCACAACUGAAAUGUGCAAAUGAGCAUGAGUGUGUAUGUCUGUGUUUGUAUGUAUAUAAAGCAUAAACCACAUAAACUUUUAGGGAGGGAGCGAGCUCCCCUUUCACAGACUCAGUCGGACAAGGCUAUCUGAAUGCAAACAAAGUGUUCCUGAAACACUCUUAUCACGUCUCCUCUUCCUCUGCAAAAAAUCACACAUGCUAAACUCAAGAAUUGGGCAAAUUCUGCGACCAAGCACUUCAGCUGUGGUACAACAAAGGUAAUGCAAAAACAGACAGUGACUAAGCAAGGGCAUUUCUACUUUCCUUGUCAGUGUUCCUAGCCAUGAACUCAUGCUCUCCCACUGCUCUUUCAGCUGUGGAGCUUCAAUGUGAAUCUUCCUGCAAGACUGUUGUGAAACCUUUUCUCCCUAUACAGUUCAGCAAAUAGUACCUCAACAUGCUGUAUUUGCACAGUUGAAGGAAAAGCAAAAUAGUGAAUUAGCAACAGGAAAUAGUGAGAGGUGACAGAGAAAAAGGCAACAAUGUCACUAGGAUCUGUAGGAUCUACAGAAGACCUUGAUCACUGGUCACAUUUUAUAAAAGUCCAGGGACAAUCUGUAAGCUCUGAAUUGUUCCUCAGUAUUAUAAUUCAACAGAUGUCCGGAAAAGCAGUCUUAUGCCAGAAGAACUUGGAGAGAAAGGUGAUCUAAAUGCACCUGGCAUGUAAAUCCAAUCAGCUUGCCACACAAGAGGGAUUUAUCCUCUCUUUGUAUUUUUAGUUUUAUAAUGGCCAUGGUGAUCUUAGCAUCCCUGAUCCAUGCAUCCCUAGUGUACUUAAUGUCUCAUUUGGUAUAUAGAAUAGAACAGAGCGGAGCACAGCAGAAUGGAAUGGAAUGGAAUGGAAUGGAAUGGAAUGGAAUGGAAUGGAAUGGAAUGGAAUGGAACGGAAUGGAAUAGAAAAGAAUAGUUGGAAAGGAUCAACAAAGAUCACUGAGUCCAACUGCCAGACCACUUCAGGGACAAUAAAAAUAAAAGCAUAUUAAUGAGUCCUCUUGGAUACUGACAGGUGUGGGGCAUCAACCACCUCACAAGGAAGUCUAUUACAGUGUUCUAUCACCCUCAAGGUAAAGAAAUGUUUACUAAUGCCCAGACUGAGCCUUCUCUGGUACAGCUCUGUGCCAUUCCCGUCCUACCAUUGGUUCUCAGGAGCAGAGCCUGGCACCUCCCCCUGGCACUUCACCCUCAGGGAGCUGCAGAGAGCAGUGUGGUCAACUCUCUGCCUUCUCUUCUCCAGAGUGGGCACCCUAGCCCCUCUCACACAGCAUUACUUUGCUUUUAUGUUGUGGAGAAAAGGAUGGCAUGCUGUAUAGGUGAGACUGCACCAAUGUAAAAUGUAGCAGGGCAAUCAUGUGACUGGCUAUGCUGUGCUUAAUGCAUCCCACAAAGUGUUUAGCUCUUUAUUUUCCUAAUAAGACGGAACUGGCUUGAAAUAAAGUUUUGCAAAAAGUGGACUGAGAUUUCAAAAUUCAUGCUUUCAAAAUUUGUAUAAAAAGAGAAAUAACAUUUAUCAUAUGUUAUUGGAGGGGAGGUUACAGGGUUACAGGUCAAAAUACCCAUGUACCCAUGCAUAAGAGAACAAAAGACAUCUCUUCCCCCUCCCCCCCCCCCCCCCCCCCGCCCCCCUCCCCACACACACACAUACUCCUUCUUACUAAGCUCCCCUUCCAAAGCAGAGCAGCUCAGAUGUCAGACCAACCAGAGCAGAGACACCCAGGUCAGUUUUGCCUCUGCAGAAUUUCCAUCUUGCUCCUUCCAAGUCUUGCUAUUGAAGUUUUCUCAAAGACAACACAACCUCUUCUUCCUCAGCAGUGAGAAAAGAAAUAUGCGACUGUGUGCCAUGUUGCAGCUAUUUGUGUAGCCUCUCCCACUAUGAGCAUUUGGCAAACCCCCAUUUCUUGAGAAACUGCAUUUAGUUUGUGGCACUGCUACAAAAGUAGACUGUGAAAGCAGCACUUCUACUAACACACCAGUAAAAAUCCCAAGCUAGAGAUUUUGAAGAUGAUGUCAAUCCAAUAUUCCUCCUACACACGUGAAACCAAAAAUUGCCAUAAAGACUGCUAUAGAUUAAAAUUCUCUUAAAUGGGCUGUUACAAUAAAUAAGCAAAUUAGUUCUUAGAACCAUAGAACACAGCUCCAGUCAGAACAGCACAGAAGAGUUGAAUUACAUCAGGCAUAUUUUCAAGCCUGUUAUCAAAACUAUCAAUCAUGUCCCAUCUAACAAGAAUCCUGCAACAUUAAAACUUCAGCAAAUACAGAAAUUGUCAUAAGGAAUAAAGAUUGCUUCAAAAUUGUCUUUGCUGUGAAGCACAAAGUUUGCAUUCAUGUAGUCGUACGCAUCUCCACUGACCUCAGACAACCUGUGGGAAGAUGUAAACAAGAUAAAAGCUGUCUGGAGCUACAUGAGCUAACCACAGCCUGCCUGUGGACUAUGGAUAUAAUCUCUCCAUUUUGUCUCAGAUAGACAGGAAAGAAAAAUAUUCUCUGUUAUCUUGAUGACAGAAGCCUCAGAGAUGGAUUGAAGAUCCCCAAUCAGAAUGAAAGAUGUUACUCAGCUUUAACGUGGUGCUGGCAAACUUUGCUCAGAUGGAAGCAUCAGAGCCAGAGCUGUAGCUAUCCCUUGUAUCAACAGUGUCUGGAUAAUCUCAACUGGAAACACUAAAAUCAGUCUAUCAACUUUAAUGAGAACAUACAGGUUUAUAAGCUCUACAAAUUUACUAUACUUUUGCCCAGGGCCUACUUGCAUACUUUAGAGAACAGUCUUUUU